rnacentral:rRNA from 1 species
UACGUAGGGUGCAAGCGUUGUCCGGAAUUAUUGGGCGUAAAGAGCGUGUAGGCGGCCAGGUAGGUCUGCUGUGAAAACUCGAGGCUCAACCUCGAGAUGUCGGCGGAAACCAUCUGGCUAGAGUCCGGAAGAGGAGAAUGGAAUUCCCGGUGUAGCGGUGAAAUGCGCAGAUAUCGGGAAGAACACCCGUGGCUAAGGCGGCUCUCUAGUACGGUACUGACGCUGAGACGCGAAAGCGUGGGGAGCGAACAGG